AACAACGCUGGCGGCGUGCCUAACACAUGCAAGUCGUACGAGAAAGUCGGCUUCGGCCGAUGAGUACAGUGGCGCACGGGUGAGUAGCGCGUGGGUAAUCUGCCCCCCGGUCAGGAAUAACCCGCCGAAAGGCGGGCUAAUACCCGAUAACACUGACGCUCCGCGGAGCGUCUUUCAAAGAAGGCCUCUGUUUACAAGCUUUCGCCGGAGGAUGAGCCCGCGUACCAUUAGCUAGUUGGCAGGGUAAUGGCCUACCAAGGCUACGAUGGUUAGCUGGUCUGAGAGGAUGGCCAGCCACACUGGAACUGAGACACGGUCCAGACUCCUACGGGAGGCAGCAGUGAGGAAUCUUGCGCAAUGGGGGAAACCCUGACGCAGCAACGCCGCGUGAGUGAGGAAGGCCUUCGGGUCGUAAAGCUCUGUCAGAUGGGAAGAAAUGGAUGGGGGCUAAUAUCGCCCAUCCUUGACGGUACCAUCAGAGGAAGCACCGGCUAACUCCGUG
rnacentral:rRNA from 1 species